UUUGCUUCUCAGUCUUUUAGCUAAGAUCAAGUGUAGUAUCUGCUCUUAUCAGUUAGAUAUCUGAUAUAUCCUCUGUCUGAGGACAAUUUAUUAAAUGGAUUUUUGGAAUUAGAAGUUGGACUGGGAGCUUGUUUUGUCCCUUCUACACAUCGACCUGGUAGUGUAAUACAUCCAGGAAUGGUGUAUCAAAG